rnacentral:rRNA from 1 species
UACGUAGGGUGCAAGCGUUGUCCGGAAUUAUUGGGCGUAAAGAGCUCGUAGGCGGUCUGUCGCGUCGGAUGUGAAAACUCGGGGCUCAACCCCGAGCCUGCAUUCGAUACGGGCAGACUAGAGUUCGGUAGGGGAGACUGGAAUUCCUGGUGUAGCGGUGAAAUGCGUAGAUAUCAGGAGGAACACCAGCGGUGUAGACGGGUUGCUGGGCUGACACUGACGCUGAUGCGCGAAAGCCAGGGGAGCGAACGGG